rnacentral:tRNA from 1 species
UGUUUCAUGCCCAGUGGUCAGGGUCUAGGACUUGUGACCGAAAAAUCGCAGGUUCGAUUCUCUCCAGAGGCAG